rnacentral:rRNA from 1 species
CCUACGGGUGGCAGCAGUGAGGAAUAUUGGUCAAUGGGCUUACGCCUGAACCAGCCAAGUCGCGUGAGGGAAGACUGCCCUAUGGGUUGUAAACCUCUUUUGUCAGGGAGCAAUUGGCGCUACGUGUAGCGUUAUCGAGAGUACCUGAAGAAAAAGCUUCGGCUAACUCCGUGCCAGCAGCCGCGGUAAUACGGAGGAUGCGAGCGUUAUCCGGAUUUUUUGGGUUUAAAGGGUGCGUAGGCGGAAUGCCAAGUCAGCGGGAAAAUUGCGGGGCUCAACCUCGCUCCGCCGUUGAAACUGGCGUUCUUGAGUGGGCGAGAAGUAUGCGGAAUGCGUGGUGUAGCGGUGAAAUGCAUAGAUAUCACGCAGAACUCCGAUUGCGAAGGCAGCAUACCGGCGCCCAACUGACGCUGAAGCACGAAAGCGUGGGUAUCGAACAGGAUUAGAUACCCUAGUAGUC